CUUACCAUGCAAGUCGAACGGUGAAGCCCAGCUUGCUGGGUGGAUCAGUGGCGAACGGGUGAGUAACACGUGAGCAAUCUGCCCCUGACUCUGGGAUAAGCGCUGGAAACGGCGUCUAAUACUGGAUACGAACCGUGGAGGCAUCUUCAACGGUUGGAAAGAUUUUUUGGUCAGGGAUGAGCUCGCGGCCUAUCAGCUUGUUGGUGAGGUAAUGGCUCACCAAGGCGUCGACGGGUAGCCGGCCUGAGAGGGUGACCGGCCACACUGGGACUGAGACACGGCCCAGACUCCUACGGGAGGCAGCAGUGGGGAAUAUUGCACAAUGGGCGAAAGCCUGAUGCAGCAACGCCGCGUGAGGGAUGACGGCCUUCGGGUUGUAAACCUCUUUUAGCAGGGAAGAAGCGUGAGUGACGGUACCUGCAGAAAAAGCGCCGGCUAACUACGUGCCAGCAGCCGCGGUAAUACGUAGGGCGCAAGCGUUAUCCGGAAUUAUUGGGCGUAAAGAGCUCGUAGGCGGUUUGUCGCGUCUGCUGUGAAAUCCCGAGGCUCAACCUCGGGUCUGCAGUGGGUACGGGCAGACUAGAGUGCGGUAGGGGAGAUUGGAAUUCCUGGUGUAGCGGUGGAAUGCGCAGAUAUCAGGAGGAACACCGAUGGCGAAGGCAGAUCUCUGGGCCGUAACUGACGCUGAGGAGCGAAAGGGUGGGGAGCAAACAGGCUUAGAUACCCUGGUAGUCCACCCCGUAAACGUUGGGAACUAGUUGUGGGGUCCAUUCCACGGAUUCCGUGACGCAGCUAACGCAUUAAGUUCCCCGCCUGGGGAGUACGGCCGCAAGGCUAAAACUCAAAGGAAUUGACGGGGACCCGCACAAGCGGCGGAGCAUGCGGAUUAAUUCGAUGCAACGCGAAGAACCUUACCAAGGCUUGACAUAUACGAGAACGCUGCAGAAAUGUAGAACUCUUUGGACACUCGUAAACAGGUGGUGCAUGGUUGUCGUCAGCUCGUGUCGUGAGAUGUUGGGUUAAGUCCCGCAACGAGCGCAACCCUCGUUCUAUGUUGCCAGCACGUAAUGGUGGGAACUCAUGGGAUACUGCCGGGGUCAACUCGGAGGAAGGUGGGGAUGACGUCAAAUCAUCAUGCCCCUUAUGUCUUGGGCUUCACGCAUGCUACAAUGGCCGGUACAAAGGGCUGCAAUACCGUAAGGUGGAGCGAAUCCCAAAAAGCCGGUCCCAGUUCGGAUUGAGGUCUGCAACUCGACCUCAUGAAGUCGGAGUCGCUAGUAAUCGCAGAUCAGCAACGCUGCGGUGAAUACGUUCCCGGGUCUUGUACACACCGCCCGUCAAGUCAUGAAAGUCGGUAACACCUGAAGCCGGUGGCCCAACCCUUGUGGAGGGAGCCGUCGAAGGUGA
rnacentral:rRNA from 1 species